UACGUAGGUGACAAGCGUUGUCCGGAUUUACUGGGCGUAAAGAGCGCGCAGGCGGUCGAUCAAGUCGAGUGUGAAAGCCCCCGGCUCAACUGGGGAGGGUCAUUCGAUACUGAUCGACUCGAAGGCAGGAGAGGGUAGUGGAAUUCCCGGUGUAGUGGUGAAAUGCGUAGAUAUCGGGAGGAACACCAGUGGCGAAGGCGGAUCUCUGGGCCUUACCUGACGCUGAGGCGCGAAAGCUAGGGGAGCAAACAGG
rnacentral:rRNA from 1 species